ACCGGCCCAGGUUGCACAGAAAGCAGCUCAGAUUGUUCAGAUCGUAAUGCGGAGGUUUCCGUCGACUGGUGACUAUCCGAAGCCGGUGAGGAUUCAGAAGAACGGUUUUCCGAUGUAUUUAACGCUGACGUGCCGGAAACCGCAGAACGGGCAGGAAGCCAAAGCACUAGCAGCUAAAAUUUCGCAGCUUCGCUUGCAAAGUGGGCUCUACAAUGUAACAUUACUCACAGGUCCCUGACACCGCCUCUCCGACUUCUAAGAGCACACGGGUUUUUCCGGAAUCUUCCAAAAGAUGCUAGAACUUUUCUGAAGACCCCGGUGGGGCUGUCGAGGAUGUUGCUAUCUCUACAAUAGCCGGAGAAGACGAAACAAGUUUUGCAAUGCACACGGACUGGCUCAGUUAUGAAUGUCACAAAUGCUCCCCUAACGAGGAUCAAAUCAAUGAAAGGAUGGCCUUGAUAAAUAAUAUUCAUGAGGCGAAGAGGAAGUACCCAUACAUGAUGAGCUUUGAGAGGUGACUUUGCAAGACGGACUAAGAUUGACCCAUCACCUUGUAUUGCAAAAGGGAUCAACAAAAUUGUGAAAAUGGCAGAAAUGAAACACAUCCCUUGCGAAGCAAGUGUAAUGGCAUCACUUCAAAAGGCUCGUGAGAUGUCACCGGAGAGGCUGCGAACACGACGACCCGAGCGUUCCUGCAACCUCUUGCAUCGUAUUUUCUGGAGAAGACGUUGAAGAGGCUGACCUCCACAUCAAGGUGGACCGCGAGAUGUUUGCAGUGAAAAAUGGGGAGGAGGGGCUGGCGGCUGUUUUAUCUGCUUACUGGCUCUUCAAUAUCCAGUACGACCGCAAGCUAUUCAACACUCUUCUCGUGUUGGAGCGCCUUUUCCUUGGGCUCACAUUGAGUACCCCUAGAGUAGUGGCUACAAAGUUCUUGAACAAUGUUGCCAAAUGUGUGCCAUGUUUAAUGUGCUGAAGCUGUGCACUGUUACCUCAUCAUGAGUUUAGCUGUAAUUUUCAGAUGCAAGUUUUGUUUUGUCUAACCAUUUCUGCAAUACAUAUGAAGGAAGCCAACAGUCACCGAUAACAAGGCAAGCUUAUGGCAACGCUAUUCGUUUUUUUUUAUUUGCAGUGUUAGUAGUUGGAAAUUAUUAGUGUAAUUAUUUUCAGAUGUGGUUAGUUAGGAUCCCACUGGCAGCAUGUGGUUUUCUGCUUUCUGAUCAUUUACCUGUCAGCCAUAAAAUGAUUACACUAACAAUUUUCUAUUGUCAGCACCACAAAUUGUUAAAACUUAGAAGCAUUCUCCAUGUGGGGCGUUCCUUGGUCUCGGUCACUGUUGGCAUUUUUCAUAUGCAUUACAGAAAGGGUUAAACUAUUCAACACUUUCUUAUCUAAAUGUUACAGGUAAACUGUCUUUUGUAUUACAUCAUUAGCUCUUUUUAACUUUCAAUAACUAAGCAAGAUUCUAGUCGUAAAAAAAAUAAAAGCUCUAGAAGGUUGAUACGUACUUCUCGCUUAUUACGUAGUUACGAAAGCUGAUCUCAUAUACAGUUGUGGU